rnacentral:pre_miRNA from 1 species
AAGAGGAACAGCCCCAGUGGUUGCUGCAGCUCUGGACACCUGGAUUCAGCUCCCGCAGGAACUACUCCGUCUGCAGGGCCUGGAGGCUCCGGGGCGGG